UUCUGUAAACACGUGCCUGUCCCAUCACAGCCUCACUUGCAGUAUUUAUUGCUGUUUGUGCAAAGGCUCAGCAGUGGGGACAAUCUGUUUCAGGAUGUGACCCUUUAGAACUCCGUAGAGCUGCCUGCCAGUGCUCUCAGCUGCAGAAAAGCUCCAGCCCUGCUGCUCCAUGGAGAUCCCCUCUACCUGCUGUUGGCAUCUCUGUUCACCAAUCAACAUAAUGAACAUAGGCAAUUAA